rnacentral:rRNA from 1 species
AGUGAACGCUGGCGGUAGGCCUAACACAUGCAAGUCGAACGGCAGCACAGUAAGAGCUUGCUCUUACGGGUGGCGAGUGGCGGACGGGUGAGGAAUACAUCGGAAUCUACUUUUUCGUGGGGGAUAACGUAGGGAAACUUACGCUAGUACCGCAUACGACCUACGGGUGAAAGCAGGGGAUCUUCGGACCUUUCGCGAUUGAAUGAGCCGAUGUCGGAUUAGCUAGUUGGCGGGGUAAAGGCCCACCAAGGCGACGAUCCGUAGCUGGUCUGAGAGGAUGAUCAGCAACACUGGAACUGAGACACGGUCCAGACUCCUACGGGAGGCAGCAGUGGGGAAUAUUGGACAAUGGGCGCAAGCCUGAUCCAGCCAUACCGCGUGGGUGAAGAAGGCCUUCGGGUUGUAAAGCCCUUUUGUUGGGAAAGAAAAGCAGCAGGUUAAUACCCCGCUGUUCUGACGGUACCAAAAGAAUAAGCACCGGCUAACUUCGU